rnacentral:rRNA from 1 species
UCCUACGGGAGGCAGCAGUGGGGAAUAUUGGACAAUGGGGGCAACCCUGAUCCAGCCAUGCCGCGUGUGUGAAGAAGGCCUUCGGGUUGUAGAGCACUUUCAGUGGUGAGGAAAGGGUAACCGUUAAUAGCGGUUACAGUUGACGUUAGCCACAGAAGAAGCACCGGCUAACUCCGUGCCAGCAGCCGCGGUAAU